CUUCCUGCGCCCCGGCCCCGGCCGCGCCGGCCCCGCUCUCCGUCGGCCCCGCACAGGCGGCGCGGCGGGUUGUGCCCGCUCCCCGCCCGGGCAACGUGCGGGCCAUGCUGCACGGUGCGGCGGCAGCGGCCCGGCGGUGCGGGCUCGGCCUCAGUGCCGCUGCCGGCCGGGGGCAGGCGGGGGCACGGCGCUGCUCGGGCGCGGCGAGGCGGCGGCAGUGGGCGCCUCCGGCAGGGUGCGACAGCGGGAUCGUGGCUUACAACAGCCGGAGCCGGAGCAAGGAGCCGCUCGUGCUGGCCACGGAGGGAGUGGCGACCUGGUACAGCUGUGGGCCGACGGUGUACGACCACGCACACCUCGGGCACGCCUGCUCCUAUGUUAGGUUUGAUAUAAUUCGAAGGAUAAUGACAAGGUUUUUUGGAAUUGAAGUUAUCAUGGUGAUGGGGAUCACAGAUAUAGAUGACAAGAUAAUAAAAAAAGCCAAUGAGAUGAAUGUAUCGCCUGUAGCUCUUGCUCGUAUUUAUGAAGAAGACUUUAAACAAGAUAUGGCUGCCUUAAAGGUGCUUCCUCCUACAGUAUAUAUGAGGGUGACUGAGAAUAUUCCUCAAAUAAUUUCCUUUAUAAAAACAAUAAUUUCCAGUGGACAAGCUUAUGCAACCUCGCAAGGCAAUGUUUAUUUUGAUGUUAAAUCCUGGGGAAAAAGAUAUGGAGUGUUAACUGCUGUGGGCCCUCAUACUCAGGAUGAAGCAGUUGAUUCUGAUAAACGACAUGGUAAAGAUUUUGCCCUGUGGAAGGCUGCCAAGCCUCAAGAGCUAUCUUGGAAUUCUCCCUGGGGAAAAGGACGACCUGGAUGGCACAUUGAAUGUUCCACAAUAUCAAGUGCAGUGUUUGGAAAGCAGCUGGACAUCCAUACCGGUGGAAUAGAUCUUGCAUUUCCUCAUCAUGAAAAUGAAAUUGCACAGUGUGAGGUGUAUCAUCAGUGUGAGCAAUGGGGGAAUUACUUUCUGCAUUCUGGGCAUUUGCAUGUUAAAGGAAGUAAAGAAAAAAUGUCAAAGUCAUUAAAAAACUACAUAACGAUUAAGGAUUUCCUGAAGAAAUGUUCAUCAGAUCAAUUCAGAAUGUUUUGUUUGCGUGGAAGAUACAGCUCAGCAGUAGAAUUUAGUGAGGAGAGCAUGGAAGAUGCAAAGAACCUUCUUCAGGCAAUCUCCUCAUUUAUUAGAGAUGCAAAUGCUUAUAUAAAAGGACAGCUGGUGUGUGACCCUGUUAGAGAAGACAUAUUGUGGGAAAGGCUAGCCAACACAAAAGUAACCGUGAAGGCUGCGUUUGCAGAUGACUUUGACACCUCCAGGGCUGUUGCAGCAAUUAUGGACCUCAUUCACCAUGGCAACAGACAGCUUAAGGCUGUUACUAAGGAUGCUGGAUCUCCUAGAAGCUCUGUCGUGUAUGGAAGCAUUAUUUCCUAUAUAGAAAGCUUUUUCAGUGCCCUUGGGAUGUCCUUUGGAGAAAGACAGGUGGCUGUGGGAGGAGACAAGUCUGCAGUGCUCACCAGUGUCAUUGAAGAGCUGGUGAGGUUCCGCAUGAAGGUCCGACAUUACGCGCUGGCUCUGCCAGAAACAGCAGAUGCUGUACCUGUGGAGAGUGCGGUGGGAGCUGAGGAGCCCAAACAGGAGCAGAAGGAAAAGAGGAAGCAGUUAAUGCGGGAGAGAAAGCCCCUUUUGGAGGCUUGUGACAGUCUGCGUGGAGACCUUGCUGCCUUUGGAAUCCACAUAAAGAUCCCAAAGAGUCCUGGAAAUUGAGUGAUGCAACACUGCAAUUCCUCACACAGGCUCACCAAAGCAUGUGUGCAACAAGACACAGCCUACACAAAGCAGGGAUCUCCCCACCCUCUUGCUCAUCGUGAGUCUGCCUGGCUGUGUCAGCUGCUGCCAAAAAUGCCCUGGUAAAACAGCACCUAACAGGGGUCCUGCUUGCCUAGACAGAGCUGCUGUUUCAACCUGGGAAAUUGUGGAAGGAGGGCAGACAGAGAAGCAGACUGAGAAAAAAAGCUGAUCCUUCAUCCUUGGACUUGUUUUUUAUUUCAGCUACUUUGGCAACUGUUGUAAAUACUGAUUCUUUCAAAAUAAAAUCUGUUGAACAGAA